UCGUGGCGUGGCAAGAGCCU
rnacentral:misc_RNA from 1 species